CCUACGGGUGGCUGCAGUGGGGAAUAUUGCACAAUGGGGGAAACCCUGAUGCAGCGACGCCGCGUGAAGGAAGAAGUAUUUCGGUAUGUAAACUUCUAUCAGCAGGGAAGAAAAUGACGGUACCUGACUAAGAAGCCCCGGCUAACUACGUGCCAGCAGCCGCGGUAAUACGUAGGGGGCAAGCGUUAUCCGGAUUUACUGGGUGUAAAGGGAGCGUAGGCGGUGUAGCAAGUCAGAAGUGAAAGCCGGGGGCUCAACUCCGGGACUGCUUUUGAAACUGUUGAACUAGAGUGCAGGAGAGGUAAGUGGAAUUCCUAGUGUAGCGGUGAAAUGCGUAGAUAUUAGGAGGAACACCAGUGGCGAAGGCGGCUUACUGGACUGUAAAUGACGCUGAGGCUCGAACGCGUGGGGAGCAAACAGGAUUAGAUACCCUUGUAGUC
rnacentral:rRNA from 1 species